GGCGCUAUAGCCAAGUGGUUACGGCGACAGAUUAGAAUUUCUUGUCUAUCUGUUCUCCUUUGGAGGCGCAGGUUCGAAUCCUGCUGGCGUCG
rnacentral:tRNA from 1 species